AACGAACGCUGGCGGCAUGCCUAACAUAUGCAAGUCGAACGAGACCUUCGGGUCUAGUGGCGCACGGGUGCGUAACGCGUGGGAACCUGCCCUUAGGUUCGGAAUAACUCCCCGAAAGGGGUGCUAAUACCGGAUAAUGUCUUCGGACCAAAGAUUUAUCGCCUUUGGAUGGGCCCGCGUUGGAUUAGCUAGUUGGUAGGGUAAAAGCCUACCAAGGCGACGAUCCAUAGCUGGUCUGAGAGGAUGAUCAGCCACACUGGGACUGAGACACGGCCCAGACUCCUACGGGAGGCAGCAGUGGGGAAUAUUGGACAAUGGGCGAAAGCCUGAUCCAGCAAUGCCGCGUGAGUGAUGAAGGCCUUAGGGUUGUAAAGCUCUUUUACCCGGGAUGAUAAUGACAGUACCGGGAGAAUAAGCUCCGGCUAACUCCGU
rnacentral:rRNA from 1 species